AACUGGUUUCUGUGAAUGUAGAAAAUACUCUUUCUAGUCUAUGGACCUUCAAGUACAGCAGCCACAGUGUGCAUCCAAACAGUCUAGAUAGGCUACAACCCUCAGCUGUUUCCUGGGUGGCCUGGGUACAGCCUUUUGGAGUACCUACUAUUUCCGGUUUGGGGUACCCAGAGAGGUGAUCAAGUGUCAGGAUCUAAGCAUAGACUCUGGCCAGAUUGUAAGUAUAGAAGUAUCCUUUGUGCAUGAGACCUUCUGGUAUGACAUCGAGGACUCAGCUACUCUGUAUCUUCUCUUCCUGCAUGCACACAAAUGGGCCAUAUGGGCCAUACCAGCAUCCCAUCUCCACCCUGGACCUUCCUUUUUUUUAAAGAGAUGCCUUAUGCAUUUCAGGAAAGAAGAAAGAGGCAGGCUAUCUGUUUUUUUCUUUUUUUCCUAUCCCUUUCCGUCCAAAUGAGUUUCUAUAUCAAUUUACCUUGCCGUAUCUUUUUGGCCUUCGGUCUUGGCUGCCAUAUUUCUCCCCUGGGGGUGACAGGGCUGAAAUAUUUCCUCUCAGGUCAAGGUGGAGGUAGAAUGUGGGACAACUCGUGUUACUAACACUUCUUUCACACGCUGCUGUUAUCCCCGUACUUGAGAACACUCCUGCCCCCUCCCUCACCCACGGCACACUCUGGACCCCUUUCACCUUGGCCUCUAAGAACUUCUGCGUAGAAUUAUAUGAACAAUGAAAAGGCUUGCCCAUGCCUCUUCCCGUGUCUGUGAUCAUUCUAGAGAGAGCUCAUGCAGCAACUGUGGGUUUGCAACUUACUCCAGAACUGGACUCCUCACAUCCUCUGUCUCGUCACCUGCUCUCUUACAACAUUGGUGUCACCCUGUGGUCUGGCUGAUAUUUCAAGAAACCCUCUUAAAUAAAGGCAGUUAAGUGUUUCUCUCUGUAAAUGCUCUUCUCCAUUGGAGAUGUGAUAAUGGCAUGUGAUAAUUAUACUUGAAGAUUUUCGAAACAAUUAUCCAAGCCACUCAAUUGUUUUACCUUAAAAGGCUGGAAAACUUUAUACAAAAAGAUUUUUGGGUAAUGUUCUCUGCAAAAAUAUUGCAUUUGGAAUGAACUUCUCAGAGAACCAGGGUUAGUCACUUUUACAUAUCUAGCAUCUAACUCAGGUCCAAGGAUGUGAUAUAAGAAGGAUGCUUUAAUAAUGUCCAUUUUAUUGAAAUGCUGGAAAACCAAGGGGGAAUGGUGCUUGGUUUAAGAACUGGGUCUAAGUCCCAGCUGAUGAGCUAAGUCAGAUGUUUGCUUUUGCUAAAUAUUAAUUGUCCUAGGAUAGAAGGAUAAUAUUGACUGUAAAAAUGUGAUGCAUUAAUAUGUAUAAAGUUCUUAAUAAGUACAGUUAUUGAUGCUUAAUACAUUUUCAUCAUACGGUAGCCAUUACUUCUGUCAUAGUAAGUAUUGAUUUUAUUUCAGUAUAUGUACAUUUACAAAUCUGAUUCUCCAUGUACUGUAUGAAUCUCUGAUUUGGCUUAUGUGAUUCCACAAUAAUCUAAUUGAUCCUGAAUACUGCUGCCAAAUCCCUCUUUCUUAGAACCACUUUGAUCAUUUCACAUUCCUAUUCAAAGGCUUUGAUGGUGUCAUUUCCUAUUAUACAUAGUCACAACUUUUCUGCUUAGCGCUCAUGACUCACCAUGACUUGGCUUCAUUCUACAUAUCAGUGCUAGUCAAGAUUCUUUGGUUACAAAAAAACAGAAAACCACUCGAGGAAUUCCAAGCAAGAGUGGUCAGAAUAGCAAUUUUCAUAGUGCAAUAGCCCUUGCAAUGAACACAAGAUCUAAACCACAGUGCUCAGUGAGAACAUUGCUGGGAAGAGGUUGGGAAACCAAUCUCUUCUUGUGUUCCAGAAAUGGCAGACCUUCUGCCUUCUCUGCUUCAGAGUUUCUUCCAUUAGGGAAUGACAGUGCAUGGCCACCAAUGUCCAAUCAAUAGGACUGCAUAGGACCAACAAUUCCCAACUACUAGCUACAGCCUCUGAAUCUUUUCAGAUGUUUUCAGCCAUCCACCUCUGCUGGAGAAGUGACAGAGUUUGGGAGGAACCAGCAAAGUGAAAUUGAAGAAUGAUAAUAUACAGAAGUGAGACAAUGACCUGGAUUAUAACUUCAGUUUUUAGCCAGCACAAGAAUGUGAAAGCAGGACUUGAGCGAGCUCCGUUCAACAUGUCAACAUCAAGGGACUCAGUCAAUAUGCAUCAGAGCCUUCAACAAUAUUAUUGCCACAGCUAUCAAUGAAGAAGCUCUAACAGCUCAUGUUGUUAAAUAUCUUAAAAGUGAUUGAAGAGAAGGUUUUGAAGCAUGUAGUCAUAAGUCUGUAACAACAGCAUCAAUGCUUACUGACCACCAACUAUUUGUCAGAAGUUGAAAAGCCUAAUUUGGGAACCUGAAAAUAGUUCUUAAUUCAUCUGAUUCUCUUCUGGCAGAGACCUCUCUGGAUACCAGAGGGCUGAAGAGAUUGCGAGAUUCUCAACCGAUUUAUAGAAUGCCAUCAGCUUCAUGCUCAAAUGUAGAUAUUGCACUCCAGCGUUCGUCUAAGAUCACAGAAUGAAGUAACCCAUUGUGUGAAAGUAUCGAGAAUUACAGCUUAUAAAUAAGUAUCCUUGUGGAUUUGCUUUUGUUUAUAGCUAUUGUCUUUUCACAGUAAGCGUGGCCAAGUGAAACAUAACCACUAGCUGAAUGCUCACUUUACACAAUCUGUAAUAUUUCUAAAAGCAACCUGAGGACUGAGUAUAGGGAAAAAUGUUACUUUUUUCCUGGGUUUUAUGACUAAAAACUGAAGAACAAAUACAUUAAUGCAUUGGGUUGAAUUGUACAAAAUUGCCAUUGUAUAUGAUAGAAACAGCGAGCUAGUGGCAAUUUCAUAGGACUCAACUUAACGUAAAUAUGAUUAAUGCAUAGUUUCCCCGAAGGAAAUAUUUUAGGUUUAGAUCCUUUCAUUCGAUUAAUAUUAUUAGGGCAAACACUGGUCUUUUAAUUAUUCACUCAGACAUUCUGCUUUUUUACCCUUUGACAGCUAUUUUUUAUGCACAAAAUAUCAUAAUCAGCUUGAUGCGCUCUCACUGUUGCAUGAAUUAAUCCCUGCAAAAGCUAAUUAGUUUCUUAAGUAUAGAAGUACCUAAAAUUAAUUUUAACUAGUACAGCUGUAUCUCUGACCUCUAGCUCAACGUGUAAAGAAGGAAGAGAUGUAAUUUUCAAUAGGACUCCUGGCUAUUCUCAAACUAAUUCCUUUGAAAUCAACAUGUAAUUGUUGGAUAUCCACAGAGCACAGCUACCGUGAAAGGUACAAAGACAAAACUCAUUGCCAAUCAUCAGUCCAGCAGAGAAUUAGACAUGCUAGCACCGAAGAUCGACAAAGCGCAGGACUCCAAAAAUUCUCAGAGAUUCAGGCUCUACAAACCCAAAUCUUCUGAUUGUUCUGAGAAAGUAGAUGGGGGAAUUACUUUGUGAUCACUAGUGGAAUAAGUGAAAUCUCCAGGAGGAAAAGCAACGGAACCUUGGAAUGUGGAAGAAAGGCAGGCAAGUACAUCAUUUCAGGAAGACUUUGUGUAUUUUGGGAAGAAAAGAGAAGUCUCCUGGAAUGUUCUUUAUCGGUUUCAGAGAUGAGGAAAACUGAAUAAGGGGAGUUGCAGAUGUUGCUGCCUUUUGAGGGUCCCCUCGACCUGCACAAGCAUCCUUUCCAUCCACCAACUGAGAUAAAUGAUCCAGUAACUGUGAGUCAGAUCUAAACGAAGAUUCACAGAAGAAAUAAAAAUAGUAUUUUUGACUGAAAUGUUAUUAUUAAAAAUAUGUCCUUCUGAAAUCAGAAAGACAAGAACUAACAAGUGUUGGUGACAGAUAGUGAAAAGGGAAGCUGUUGGUGGGAAUGCAAACCAGUGUGGCCACGGUGGAAGACAGUAUGGAGGCUCCUCAAAAAAAUUAAAAAUAAAAAUAACAAUUUGAUCCAAUAAUUCCACUACUGGGUAUUUACUCAAAGAAAACAAAAGCACUAAUUUGAAAAGAUAUAUGCAUUCCUAUAUUUAUUGCAAUAUUGUUUACCAUAGCCAAGAUAUGUAUGUUUACCAGUGCCCAUCGAUACAUGAAUGGAUAAGGAAGAUGUGAUACUUAUAUAUCCAACGGACUGCAAUUCAGCGAUAAGAGAGGAUAAGGCUUUGUCAUUUGUGACAACACAGAUGGAUCUAGAGGGUAUUAUGCUAAGUGAAGUAAGUCAGACUGAGAAAGACCAAUACCGUAUGAUUUCACUCAUAUGUGGAAUCUAAACAAAACAAUACACAUGAAUAAACAAAAACAGAAUCAGACCUGUAAAUACAGAAAACAAACUGAUGGUUGCUGGAAGGGAGUGUGGGGGGUAGAAAAAUGGGUGAAAGGGAAUGGGAGAGACAGGCUUCCAGUUACGGAAUAAAUAACCACAGGGAUUAACGGCACAGCACAGGGAAUAUAGUGAAUGAUACCGCAAUAGCUUUGUAUAGUGACAAAUGGUAGAGACACUUGUGCGCAUAACCUAUAGAGAAGGUGCAUCAUUAUGUUGUGCACCUAAAAUUAACGUGGCAUCGUGUAUCAGCUCUACUCAAAAAAAAAAAAAAAAAAAAAAGAAUGGAAAGAAAAUCUUUCUUGGGUAUGAAUAUGUGCUAUCUUUUCAGUUAAAGAAAAUAUGUCUCCAAAGAAUCGUUUGCAACAAAUAUAUAGGUACGUGUACAUAUGUGUAUACAGGUGUGUAAACAUAAUAUAUAUGUAUUGUUUUAUGC